UACGGAGGAUGCGAGCGUUAUCCGGAUUUAUUGGGUUUAAAGGGUGCGUAGGCGGCUUUUUAAGUCAGCGGUGAAAUUUUGCAGCUUAACUGUAACAGUGCCGUUGAUACUGCCAGGCUAGGAUUUGGUUGCUGUGGGUGGAAUGUGUGGUGUAGCGGUGAAAUGCUUAGAUAUCACACAGAAUAUCGAUUGCGAAGGCAGCUCACAAAGCCAAGAUUGACGCUGAGGCACGAAAGUGUGGGGAUCAAACAGGA
rnacentral:rRNA from 1 species